rnacentral:tRNA from 1 species
ACCUGAGUGGCUUAGUUGGUUAAGCAGCUGACUUCGGCUCAGGUCACGAUCUCGCAGUUUGUGAGUUCGAGUCCCACGUCAGGGC